GACGAACGCUGGCGGCGUGCCUAAUACAUGCAAGUAGAACGCAGUUGCGAACGGGUGAGUAACGCGUAGGUAACUGCCUGGUAGCGGGGGGUAACUAUUGGAAACGAUAGCUAAUACCGCAUCCUACCAGAUGGACCUGCGUUGUAUUAGCUAGUUGGGGGGGUAACGGCUCACCAAGGCAACGAUACAUAGCCGACCUGGGAGGGUGAUCGGCCACACUGGGACUGAGACAACGGCCAGACUCCUACGGGAUGCAGCAGUAGGGAAACUUCGGAAAUGGACGGAAGGCUGACCGAGCCCCGCCGGGUGAGUGAAGAAGGUUUUCGGAUUGUAAAGCUCUGUUGUGAGAGAAGCGGUAUCUGACCAGAAAGGGACGGCUAACUACGUGCCAGCCGCCGCGGUAAUAC
rnacentral:rRNA from 1 species